rnacentral:rRNA from 1 species
UACGAAGGGGGCUAGCGUUGUUCGGAAUUACUGGGCGUAAAGCGCGCGCAGGCGGCUAUCCAAGUCAGUGGUGAAAGCCCGGAGCUCAACUCCGGAACUGCCAUUGAAACUGUUUAGCUUGAGGAUGAGAGAGGUGAGUGGAAUUCCCAGUGUAGAGGUGAAAUUCGUAGAUAUUGGGAAGAACACCGGUGGCGAAGGCGGCUCACUCGGCUCAUUCUGACGCUCAGGCGCGACAGCGUGGGGAUCGAAACAGG